CCUGCCUCUCCGCUGCUGGCUGGAACGCUGAUCUAUCUAGUUGCUGGGGAGACGCCCCCAGAUGCCCGGGCCCCACUCGGACUUCAGCACACAUCCCGAAGGAUGGGGAAAGAAAGAGGCCCCCACGAGCGGGACUCGCAGUGGCCAAGGAGGGGUGAGAGGCGGACAGGGAUCAGCUGGCCCCUGCGGCCUGGUUGCACCUGCAUGGUGACUAGCUGCCGGGCUGCGCCCCGGGGCGCGGCGAGGAGGCGGGGUC
rnacentral:lncRNA from 1 species